GGGGUGUUGGCGCAAUGGCAGCGCGUCCGUCUCCAAUGAUUGGAAUAAGCGGAAGGUUGGGAGUUCAAAUCUCUCACGUCCCA
rfam:Smittium mucronatum strain ALG-7-W6 scaffold-8241, whole genome shotgun sequence.